UCGUUUUCUGAGUGUGUGUGUGUGUUGCGAGUGGGGCGCACGCGGCUUUGCCAAUCCGAAAAAGAAACUUGGGGCGCAGGCGAAUAGAAUAAUACUGAAAAAGCCCCAAACGAAAAGCGAGCGAGCGACACCGCAUGCUCCCCAGAGAUGUGUCUUUAGCUACUUCUCUAGCUCUAGCUUUUUUUUUUGUACAUUAGGGGAUCCGAUCCGAUCUACCUACAUAGACAUUUUUUCGAAAUUUUGUAGCAACGAUAUUUUUAGAUAGCAGAAUUAAACUUCGAUUCACUAGAUGGUUGAUACCAUUCGUAAAGUUUAAUUAUUUGUGAUAAAAUUAUAUUGUUGACCAACUUCAAAGUCUAAAAAUAACAAGCUCGUCUUUGUGCACUUAUCAAUUAAUCUUCCGGAUGUAUAACAAUGGCACACAAUUUUUACGCCAGUUCAACUAUUUUUUGUGAGUUCAGAAAUUCCUGCGUACAUCUGAAGCUAGCGACUUUUUAUUAUCUACCAAAGAUUUUACUCUUUUCCCUUGACAUCACUGACUUGCAGCUCUCAGAGAUGAGCGAUUUUAGUAUGAGUAUAAUCUCUCUCUCGCUCUCUUCUUCUCUCUCUCUCUCUCAUUCGCUAAUUGACGCUGCCGCUGCGGAUCAACAUGUGUGUGCCGCGAGAGAGCGAAAGAGAGAAAUCAGUUCUCUCGCGAUCGCGCUCCCGCUCGCACAGAUUCAUGCAAUGGGCAUCUGCAGCGAAUUCUAUUUUUAAACUUAAAUUAAUAUUGUUCUUUAUUUUAUCAGCAGCGGCGCGAAAAUAUAGCAGGCAGCGUCGACGUUCGUAGGCAGCUGCUGCGAAGAACGCAAAGAGGACCAGAAAACAAAUAAAUAACACGAGAAAAACUAGACGCUGCUAAUCAGGCAGAGGAAAGAUAUCACUGCCUCUCUCUUUCUUUUCCCUUUCUCACACACGCUCUGCCUCUCACCAUCAUCUUUGCUCGCUAUCACCGCUUGAUAAGAAAUGCGUUAAUCUUUAUUAAGCGCGCAUGUGUUGGUGUGUAUUCCACUUAGCUCGUGGGUGUGUAUGUGUUUUUGUGGAGUAUUUACAUGGGAGUUUUUCAAUUUCUGUUGACCAUUUCUGUUGGAAACUUUUCGCUAAAAAGGUGCUAAACAAAUCUGGCAAAGUCCAAAAGGAAAAUGUUAUUUAUGCAUGAGACAGCAGAAACAGGAAAACAAAAAUACGAAUACGAGCACGAGAACGAGAAGAAAGAAGUAAUAGAAAAAUCAACCCAAGACUGCAACAACUUGUUGGAUGACUCAAUAUUACAGUGGGAUAAAAGUGCACUAUACCGGUGAUCAAUAAUGUCUUCAUUGUGUCGAGUUUGCCUGGCGAGUGACGAAAAUAUGGUCAAUAUUUUCGCUACGGCGCAUGAAUCGGAAAUUACAAUAGCGGAUAUGAUUUCACGGUGCACCGACUUCAAAGUUGAGAGAGAGGAUAAAUUUCCCAAAACCAUUUGCGCGUCUUGUUUGCAGGAUGUGCACAACGCCUUCGAGAUUAUAGAAACGUACGAGAAAAGCCACCAGUUCUUCAGUUUCUUCAAGGAUGUACGGAAUGAGGAACACGGGGAUGAAGGAUCCAAUUGCUUCGAGAAAUGUACCAUUAAAGAAGAGGAAUUAAAUGAAGACCUAAAUGAAACCCAAAGCAACUUCGGAACAGAUGAGUCCAAGGGGUCGGAACCUGACUUAGGAAAUAUGAUUGAUGGUUUCAAGGGAUUUGACGUUGAACAUGACUAUAAGCCUGAUUUUGAUGACGGUAACGUUAAACCCGUCGAUAUACUGCACAUGCGAAUACACACAGGAGAACGACCAUUUGAGUGUUCCCACUGCACGAAGAGUUUUUCAAAUAAUCAAGCACUUAUAACCCAUAUACGAACCCACACAGGAGAACGACCCUUUAAGUGUUCCCAAUGCUCGAGUGCAUUUCAAACUAAUGGAAAUCUUAGAAGGCACUUGAUAUUGCACACAGAAAAACGACUGUCGUUCGAGUGUUCUGAAUGCUCCAAGAGUUUUAUAACUAAGCAACAACUUAAGAAUCAUUUGCUAGACCACAGUGGAGCACCGUUUAAGUGUUCCUACUGUGAAAAGUCCUUUGUCAAAAGCUACAUUCUUGAGAGACACUUGCGAAGCCAUACAGGGGAAAAACCAUAUCAAUGUUCUUACUGCUCGAAGGCUUUUACGCUUAAUCCAAACUUGAAGCGACAUGUGCUGAUCCACACAGGAGAGCGACCUUUCCAGUGUUCCCAGUGCUCGAAGAAUUUUCAAACUAAACAACAUCGUGACCGACACUUGCGAAUUCACACAGGAGAACGACCUUUUGAGUGUUCCCACUGUUCAAUGACCUUUUCCCAGAAUGCCAGCCUUCAGGUACACUUGCGAACCCACACCGGAGAAAGACCAUUCAAGUGUUCCCAAUGCCAAAAAGCAUUUGCUCAGCUUAUAUCUUAUCAAGAACACAUGCGAACCCACACAGGAGAUCGACCCUACAAGUGUUCUCAAUGCUUUAGGGCUUUUGCGGCUUAUGCUAAUUAUAAGCGGCACUUGACAGUUCACACAAAAGAAAAAAAAUUUAAGUGUUCCAGCUGCAAUAUGAGUUUUUCAACGAAGCAAAGCCUUCAGUAUCAUUCUCGAAACCACACAAGUAAAAAACCGUUCCACUGUUACCAAUGCGUAAAAAGUUUUAAAACUAAAAAAUAUCUUAACAGACACUUGCGAGUUCACAAGGCUUAACAUGAUCUUAAGGCAUUGGAAAACUGCUACCGUUAUAUUAAAUAUUGAUUAAACUAUAAAAGAUCUAACAUUAAAUAAAAAAAAUAUAAUUAUCUGUCAUAUUAUUUUAGGUAAAUGUAUCAUACAAUUUGGUUGCUUUUAAAUAUCUUUACCAAUCAAUCUUUACCAAUCAAAGAAAUGUUUACUCAGCUUUUGUUAUGUUGUCCGCCAGCUAUUGGCCUCUCGCUCUCUCUCAUAGCUGACGAACGAAUUUCGACGAUCUGAACAUAAGGCUUAAAAAUCAAAAAAAUAAGUGUUGAUAAACAAGCUAUACCCAAAGAAAAGAAAACACACACAAAUUUAUAUUCCGUCAAAUAAUAAUAGUCAAAAUAGUCAAUUCCAAAAUGAUGAAAAUGUUUAAAAUAAAUUAAAUUAAAUUAUGAACUACAACUUCUUUUUUGUAUCUAAAUGUGGUUGUAUGCCAAUCUAAAAGAUUGAAAUUGAGUAAACAAAACGGGUAGAUACAUUUGUAUGUACUAUUAGAAUGAGUACUAGUUCCGCUUUUAGCGUACGGCUCCAGAACCAGUUCCAUUUCCCAGGCCAUCUCUAAUGCUGUCGGCUAUCGGAACAUCAAUAUAAGAUCCAUGGCGUCGUCAAUAUGUCGAGUGUGCCUAGUGAGCUUCAAAAACAUGGACCUUGUUAGUCUAGCUCCACGGACUGUGGUUGAAUGUUAUUUGCCAACUGUUAUUUUUGUUCUGUAGUAUAGGAACAGUGCAAAUAAACGUGCAAAGAAGUUAUUUGGUCAAGAGGGAUAGUCCGACAGCUGUCUACUUAUAAUUUGUAGCGGUUCCCGAAUUAUGUAUGCAGCCAGUGCAUCUGAAGGCGAGAAAACCUGUGAUAGUCUAAGGUUUUUCCAAGCAACUAUAAAUUCAAAUUUACCGCAAAAAUGUACCCUUACGAUCCAAAGGAAUAUAAAAUUGAAAAAGUUAAAUUCAUAU